rnacentral:rRNA from 1 species
CAGCAGCAGCCACGGGAAUACGUAGGGUGCAAGCGUUAAUCGGAAUUACUGGGCGUAAAGCGUGCGCAGGCGGUUUUGUAAGACAGAGGUGAAAUCCCCGGGCUCAACCUGGGAACUGCCUUUGUGACUGCAAGGCUAGAGUACGGCAGAGGGGGAUGGAAUUCCGCGUGUAGCAGUGAAAUGCGUAGAUAUGCGGAGGAACACCGAUGGCGAAGGCAAUCCCCUGGGCCUGUACUGACGCUCAUGCACGAAAGCGUGGGGAGCAAACAGGAUUAGAGACCCGCGUAGUCCCUGUCUCUUAUAC